AUUUUUUUCCAGCCCCAGUCAUACCUUCAGAUGUUUGCAUCUCCACGUGACAACUUGACAGCAAUGUCACAGGAGACCCUGAACCAGAUCACUCAACACAGAAGUACAAAAUCUUAGAAGUGGACGCAAUAUUAAAGUUCGUAUACCAAGUUUUCAGUCAACAUUCUUUACAGCAACAGUGUUGUCCCCAUACCAGCCAUGGAGGAAGCUGUGAAAGAGAGGAUUCAGGAAAUUGGUGCAAAUGAGCCAUCUUGGAA